UCCGGCAUAGCUCAGUUGGUAGAGCAGGCGACUGUUAAUCGCCUUGUCCCUGGUUCGAGUCCAGGUGCCGGAG
rnacentral:tRNA from 2 species